AUUGAACGCUGGCGGCAGGCCUAACACAUGCAAGUCGAACGAGUGGCGGACGGGUGAGUAAUGUCUGGGAAACUGCCUGAUGGAGGGGGAUAACUACUGGAAACGGUAGCUAAUACCGCAUACCAUCAGAUGUGACAAGUUGGGAUGAGCUAUUGGGUGGGGUCACGGCUCACAAAGGCUACGAUCACUAGCUGGUCUGAGAGGAUGACCAGCCACACGGGAACUGAGACACGGUCCAGACUCCUACGGGAGGCAGCAGGGGGGAAUAUUGCACAAUGGGCGCAAGCCUGAUGCAGCCAUGCCGCGUGUAUGAAGAAGGCCUUCGGGUUGUAAAGUACUUUCAGCGGGGAGGCGUUACCCGCAGAAGAAGCACCGGCUAACUCCGUGUCAGCAGCCGCGGUAAUAC
rnacentral:rRNA from 1 species